rnacentral:rRNA from 1 species
AGAAAGCCACGGCUAACUACGUGCCAGCAGCCGCGGUAAUACGUAGGUGGCAAGCGUUGUCCGGAUUUAUUGGGCGUAAAGCGAGCGCAGGCGGUUUUUUAGGUCUGAUGUGAAAGCCUUCGGCUUAACCGGAGAAGGGCAUCGGAAACCGGGAGACUUGAGUGCAGAAGAGGACAGUGGAACUCCAUGUGUAGCGGUGAAAUGCGUAGAUAUAUGGAAGAACACCAGUGGCGAAGGCGGCUGUCUGGUCUGUAACUGACGCUGAGGCUCGAAAGCAUGGGUAGCGAACAGGAUUAGAUACCCUGGUAGUCCAUGCCGUAAACGAUGAGUGCUAAGUGUUGGAGGGUUUCCGCCCUUCAGUGCUGCAGCUAACGCAUUAAGCACUCCGCCUGGGGAGUACGACCGCAAGGUUGAAACUCAAAGGAAUUGACGGGGGCCCGCACAAGCGGUGGAGCAUGUGGUUUAAUUCGAUGCUACGCGAAGAACCUUACCAGGUCUUGACAUCUUCUGCUAACCUAAGAGAUUAGGCGUUCCCUUCGGGGACGGAAUGACAGGUGGUGCAUGGUUGUCGUCAGCUCGUGUCGUGAGAUGUUGGGUUAAGUCCCACAACGAGCGCAACCCUUAUUGUCAGUUGCCAGCAUUUAGUUGGGCACUCUGGCGAGACUGCCGGUGACAAACCGGAGGAAGGUGGGGAUGACGUCAAAUCAUCAUGCCCCUUAUGACCUGGGCUACACACGUGCUACAAUGGACGGUACAACGAGUCGCGAAACCGCGAGGUCAAGCUAAUCUCUUAAAGCCGUUCUCAGUUCGGAUUGCAGGCUGCAACUCGCCUGCAUGAAGUUGGAAUCGCUAGUAAUCGUGGAUCAGCAUGCCACGGUGAAUACGUUCCCGGGCCUUGUACACACCGCCCGUCACACCAUGAGAGUUUGUAACACCCAAAGCCGGUGAGGUAACCUUCGGGAACCAGCCGUCUAAGGUGGGACAGAUGAUUAGGGUGAAGUCGUAACAAGGUAGCCGUAGGAGAACCUGCGGCUGGAUCACCUCCUUUCUAA